CCUGAUUGAUUCUGUCAGCGCGAUAUGCUCAAGUAAAAGAUUAAGCCAUGCAUGCUUUGAUUCAUCAAUGAAAUUGCGUACGGCUCAUUAGAGCAGAUAUCACCUUGUUCGGAAUAUUAUAUGGAUAACUGCGGAAAUACUGGAGCUAAUACAUGUCAUACAUCCCCAACGUAAGGCGGGGUGCAAUUAUUAGAACAGACCAAACGUUUUCGGACGUUGUUUGUUGACUCUGAAUAAAGCAGUUUACUGUCAGUUUCGACUGACUCUAUCCGAAAAGGGUGUCUGCCCUUUCAACUAGAUGGUAGUUUAUUGGACUACCAUGGUUGUUACGGGUAACGGAGAAUAAGGGUUCGACUCCGGAGAGGGAGCCUUAGAAACGGCUACCACGUCCAAGGAAGGCAGCAGGCGCGAAACUUAUCCACUGUUGAGUAUGAGAUAGUGACUAAAAAUAUAAAGACUCAUCCUUUUGGAUGAGUUAUUUCAAUGAGUUGAAUACAAAUGAUUCUUCGAGUAGCAAGGAGAGGGCAAGUCUGGUGCCAGCAGCCGCGGUAAUUCCAGCUCUCCUAGUGUAUCUCGUUAUUGCUGCGGUUAAAAAGCUCGUAGUUGGAUCUAGGUUACGUGCUGCAGUUCGCAAUUUGCGUCAACUGUAGUCGUGACUUCUAAUUUGCUGGUUUGAGGUUGGGUUCGCCCUUCAACUGCCAGCAGGUUUACCUUGAAUAAAUCAGAGUGCUCAAAACAAGUGUUUGCUUGAAUAGCUCAUCAUGGAAUAAUGAAACAGGACUUCGGUUCUUUUUGUUGGUUCUAGAACUGAUUUAAUGGUUAAGAGGGACAAACCGGGGGCAUUCGUAUCAUUACGCGAGAGGUGAAAUUCGUGGACCGUAGUGAGACGCCCAACAGCGAAAGCAUUUGCCAAGAAUGUCUUCAUUAAUCAAGAACGAAAGUCAGAGGUUCGAAGGCGAUUAGAUACCGCCCUAGUUCUGACCGUAAACGAUGCCAUCUCGCGAUUCGGAGGGUUUUUGCCCUGCCGAGGAGCUAUCCGGAAACGAAAGUCUUUCGGUUCCGGGGGUAGUAUGGUUGCAAAGCUGAAACUUAAAGAAAUUGACGGAAGGGCACCACAAGGCGUGGAGCUUGCGGCUUAAUUUGACUCAACACGGGAAAACUCACCCGGUCCGGACACCAUUAGGACUGACAGAUUGAAAGCUCUUUCUCGAUUUGGUGGUUGGUGGUGCAUGGCCGUUCUUAGUUGGUGGAGUGAUUUGUCUGGUUUAUUCCGAUAACGAGCGAGACUCUAGCCUGCUAAAUAGUUGGCGAAUCUUCGGGUUCGUAUAACUUCUUAGAGGGAUAAGCGGUGUUUAGCCGCACGAGAUUGAGCGAUAACAGGUCUG
rnacentral:rRNA from 2 species